UACGUAGGUGGCAAGCGAUACUCGGAAUCACUAGGCGUAAAGCGCAGGUAGGCGGUUCGGUAAGCCUCUUGUGAAAGCCCCCGGCUCAACUGGGGAGGGUCACGCGAUACUGUUCGACUCGAAGGCAGGAGAGGGAAGCGGAAUUCCCGGUGUAGUGGUGAAAUGCGUAGAUAUCGGGAGGAACACCAGUGGCGAAGGCGGCUUCCUGGCCUGUUCUUGACGCUGAGGAGCGAAAGCUAGGGUAGCAAACGGG
rnacentral:rRNA from 1 species